rnacentral:rRNA from 1 species
AUUGAACGCUGGCGGAAUGCUUUACACAUGCAAGUCGAACGAUGAACCUUAGCUUGCUAAGGGGAUUAGUGGCGAACGGGUGAGUAAUAUAUCGGAACGUGCCUUGUAAUGGGGGAUAACUAGUCGAAAGAUUAGCUAAUACCGCAUACGCCAUGAGGGGGAAAGUCGGGGAUCUUCGGACCUUACGUUAUAAGAGCGGCCGAUAUCUGAUUAGCUAGUUGGUGGGGUAAUGGCCUACCAAGGCGACGAUCAGUAGCUGGUCUGAGAGGACGACCAGCCACACUGGAACUGAGACACGGUCCAGACUCCUACGGGAGGCAGCAGUGGGGAAUUUUGGACAAUGGGCGCAAGCCUGAUCCAGCCAUUCCGCGUGAGUGAAGAAGGCCUUCGGGUUGUAAAGCUCUUUCGCAAGGGAAGAAAACUUACCAUCGAAUAAAUGGUGAGGCUGACGGUACCUUGAUAAGAAGCACCGGCUAACUACGUG